CCUANGGGUGGCUGCAGUCGAGGAUCUUCGGCAAUGGGCGCAAGCCUGACCGAGCGACGCCGCGUGGACGAUGAAGGCCUUCGGGUUGUAAAGUCCUGUCGAGGGGGAUAAAGGCGCAAGCUUGAUAUAUCCCUGGAGGAAGCACGGGCUAAGUUCGUGCCAGCAGCCGCGGUAAGACGAACCGUGCAAACGUUGUUCGGAAUCACUGGGCUUAAAGGGCGCGUAGGCGGCUUGUCAAGUCAGUGGUGAAAUCCUGCAGCUUAACUGUAGAAGUGCCUUUGAUACUGGCAAGCUAGAGCGAGGUAGGGGUCUGUGGAACUUCUGGUGGAGCGGUGAAAUGCGUUGAUAUCAGAAGGAACGCCGGUGGCGAAAGCGACGGACUGGACCUUUUCUGACGCUGAGGCGCGAAAGCCAGGGGAGCAAACGGGAUUAGAUACCCCUNUANUC
rnacentral:rRNA from 1 species